rnacentral:rRNA from 1 species
UACGUAGGGGGCAAGCGUUGUCCGGAAUCAUUGGGCGUAAAGAGCGCGUAGGCGGCCCGGUAAGUCCGCUGUGAAAGUCCAGGGCUCAACCCUGGGAUGCCGGUGGAUACUGUCGGGCUCGAGUCCGGAAGAGGAGUGUGGAAUUCCUGGUGUAGCGGUGAAAUGCGUAGAUAUCUGGAGGAACACCGGUGGCGAAGGCGGCAUCCUGGACCGACACUGACGCUGAGGAGCGAAAGCCAGGGGAGCAAACGGG